UUCUGGCUGUCUCUAAUAAAUGAAUAAAUAUAAUAAAUUUUUUUUAAGAAUUUCUUUUUUAAAAAAAAGUGCCUUCCCAGGUGAAGUUACUAUUAAAAUUUGGUAUAGGACCAAAUAAUUUUUCUGGAUUUUUAUGCUGCUCUUUUCUUAAUUUUAAGAACAGAAUAAAAUUUGGAAAUAGAAUGUUAUUCCAUUAGUAGUGUAAAUGUAAUAGGACACCUGAAUUGACGGCAUCUGCCGUUCAAAUAUCUGAUGACCGUCUAAAUGCAUUUUGAUCACAGUUGUCAGUGGCUGAAAUUUUUAAAUCAAGUACAUUACUUUCUCAAAAUGUUUGACACAUUAAGCUGCCAAAAAUGACUAUCUUGCUGCCAAUUAGCCAGUUAAUUUCUGAUGAUUUUAUAUGGGAGGGAGAGAGGGUGUGUGUGUUAGAAUGUGUACCCAUUCUGUACCUUGUAUUUUGAGCACCUAUAAAACGUAACUUUUGGUGUAUUUUGAUUACUUAAUAUAAGUUUGCAUAUCUGAAUCCUAAAAGUAGCCAUGUUUGAAAAGUUCCUAUGCUUAUUUUGUUAUUUUGGGUUUGGGGUAUUUAUAUAGUGAAGUAACUUGUAAGAGAUGUAUAGAGACAGCAGAUAGAAGCUGUUCCAACGCCGAAACGUUUGGUGCUUCAUGCUGCACUUGUUUCUUACUGGACUUCUUAUGGUUGUUUUGUUUGGGUUGUUUUGUUUUGUUUUAUUUUUGCUUGAAUUUGUUUUUAGGAAAAAGGACAUUUGAAUUUUCAAGCAUAAAACUUUACAUUGGAAAAUAUAGCUAUUCAAAUGGUUAGCAAAAGACAUUUUGCCAACAAAGCUAAGUAAAACUGUAAAAUACCUCCAGAUAUUUGUGCCAGUGAACUUUGUUAGGAUGUUGAGAAUAAAGCUAACAUAAUCCUUCGGUAUUUUUUUUCUAGGACUUUAGUUAUAUAACACAUUAAAACUUAUGCCCCAUACCUUAAUCUUUCUUUGAAAAUACAUAAGCUUACACUGCUCACUAGUCUCAUUUCUGCAACGGUAUUCUCUGGUCGUACCGGAUAAAAGUGUAGUCAGUAAUUGCCAGCAGUGGUGAUAUUAGUAAGUAAGGUUGUCUUGCUUCAGAUUCAUUCUUUGACUUAAAACUAAAUUGCUUUUCACUCCUAUUGUCUUAGCACACGUGCCUGUGGUUUAUGUGACUGGAAGGUUGCUGUGGAGUUGCUUCUGUUCUCUGCAUGCUUCCACUCACCCCCUUAAGAAAGUCUUGUGGUUCAGUGUCACUGCUUCUCUUCCCAGAAAUGUUGAUGCAGUUUCGCACCAGCAAACCGCCCAGUAAAGAGGCCGUAGGGAGCCGGUCACUAAACCGCUUGGCCUUGACUGAAUAAUAAUUACCCUACUUUCUGGUGGGAGCUGUAGAUGAUCUUAGUAAAAAGGUGGUGUAUAAAACCUGAAAAGUCAGUAGACUUUUUGUUUUGGAGUGAGUUUGUCCUUUGUGUUGAAUAGCUUUUAUGCUAAGUUGAGCAAUUCUGUAUUUAAUAUAAUCAUGCUUUCUACAUAAACAUGCUUCUGUUGGAAUACUGAUAGAAAAAAACCUUUUUCUCCACUGAGGAGAGAGGAAAAACUUCAAACUUGAGUGUGCUGUGUACUUACAUUUUUUAAAAAAGUAUAAGAGUGUGUUACUCUGAAGUGAUUGUAUUGUAGUUUCUAAAAUUUGUGACUGACUGUAAAUGUAUCAGUGUACCCGUGAGAAACCAGACCAAAAUUUAAUUCAUCUUUCCACUGUGACCUUGAACUUAGUCAUUUGUAAUGAUACAGAUUGUGCCUUAAAUGUUGAAGGAAGGCCCUGCAACUUGUAAGUCUAUAUAUGAUCAUGAAAUCAGCCCCAAACCUUUCGUUUGAAGUCUUCAGAGACUUAAGAGUUGGCCGGCAUUUCAUUUACUGUUUGCAGAACUGUUGUUCUAGAGACCUCCUUUACUUUCUAGCCUUCCCAUUUAAAAUCCAAGUUGAUGUAGGCUUCAAACACUUAGAAAAUUUAAGUUCAGGGGCCAAGCGUUGGUGCACCUGGUUAAGUGCACACAGUACAGUGAGCAAGGACCCAGGUUCAAGCCCCUGGUCCCCACCUAGAUGGGGGAAGCUUCACGAGUGGUGAAGCAGGGCUGCAGGUAUCUCUCUCUCCCUCCCUCCCUCCCUCUCUCUCUCUCUCUCUCUCUCUCUCUCCCCUCUUUCUCCUCACCCCCUCUCAAUUUCUAUCCAAAAUAAAUAAAUUUAUUAAAUAAAUAAAAUGUGCUAUAUAUAAAUAUAAAAUAAAAACUAAGUUCAAGUAGAGCUGAAAAUAAAUUCAUUUUAGUAGAGGAUGGUAGCACUUCUUCAGAGCUGAUUACAGAUGGAAAAAUUAAUCUUCAAGUGUAAUUUUUUUUUGUUUUCCCUUGGAAAAUUAGGCUUUUAUUUAAAUAAAAUAACCUCAAUGUACUCAAUAAUUAUUUCUCAGUAAUAAUUAUUUCUCAGUACUAAUUAUUUCUCAGUAAGACAAGAAUUGGUUUUGUGGAAAAUGUAUAGUAAGAAUACAUGCCUUGGGGGUCUGGUGGUGGCACACCGGGUUAUGCGCACAUAGUACAAAGCACAAGGACCCAAGCAAGGAUCCUGGCUGGAGCCCCUGGCUCCCCACCUGUAGAGGGGUCGCUUCCCAAGUGGUGAUGCAGGUCUGCAGGUAUCUUUCUCUCUCCCUGUCUGUUCCCCCCUCCCCUCUCAAUUUCUAUCUGUCCUGUCCACUAAAAUGGGGGAAAAUGACCACCAGCAGCAGUAGAUUCAUAGUGCAGGCACUGAGCCCGUGAUAAUCCUGGAGGCAGAGAAAAAAAAAAAUGCCUUUCCUUAAAACAUAGUCAAACUGAAAUGCUGGCCAGCAUCACUAUGUAGUAAAAUAUAUACCUGUCACCCCUAUCAGAUCUUAUAUGAUAAUUACAAGUUUAUAGGGGACAAGUCUUGUGUUUUCACAUAGAUUCAAUAAUCAUUUAUUUUCAAAAUGACUAUUUCCCCUGCAGAAAACAGUGUGUAGAAACAAUAUUUAAGGACACAAAGGAACUUGUCCUGCAGUUAUGCGAAAAACAGUUGCAGAUCUUUCCAUUUAAGCAUGCAUGAUCUCCUGCACUCGUUCAGUGUGAGGUACUAUAAAUGCACUUAGUGGAAGUGUGUGUAUUUUUGUAUGGUAUGACUACAUUUUAACUUGUAAUUCACAAAAAGUGCUAUUUACUGUGCUCUGUGGAGUGUGGUGACUAUUUUUAACCUGUGUUUCGACAUUAUGGUUCAACAAGUGGAUUUUUGCCUUCAGUCUCUGCUCAGGUAUUAAUGUGUGGCAAACUUUGGUGCUUUGUAAUUGUCAUAAUCUGGUGUUUCGAGUGCACAACAAUAAAUCUGAUGAACAAGAA